UGGGGAAUUUUUGGACAAUGGGCGAAAGCCUGAUCCAGCAAUGCCGCGUGUGUGAAGAAGGCCUUCGGGUUGUAAAGCACUUUUGUCCGGAAAGAAAUCCUUGGCUCUAAUACAGUCGGGGGAUGACGGUACCGGAAGAAUAAGCACCGGCUAACUACGUGCCAGCAGCCGCGGUAAUACGUAGGGUGCAAGCGUUAAUCGGAAUUACUGGGCGUAAAGCGUGCGCAGGCGGUUUGCUAAGACCGAUGUGAAAUCCCCGGGCUCAACCUGGGAACUGCAUUGGUGACUGGCAGGCUAGAGUAUGGCAGAGGGGGGUAGAAUUCCACGUGUAGCAGUGAAAUGCGUAGAGAUGUGGAGGAAUACCGAUGGCGAAGGCAGCCCCCUGGGCCAAUACUGACGCUCAUGCACGAAAGCGUGGGGGAGCAAAACAGGAUUCAGAUACCCUGGUAGUCCACGCCCUAAACGAUGUCAACUAGUUGUUGGGGAUUCAUUUCCUUAGUAACGUAGCUAACGCGUGAAGUUGACCGCCUGGGGAGUACGGUCGCAAGAUUAAAACUUAAAUGAAUUGACGGGGUCAUAGCUG
rnacentral:rRNA from 1 species